UCAUCAAACAUUUUCCCCGACCAAAUCGUCUCCACCGACGAUUCAUCGUCAUCUCCAUCGACAUCUCCGGCGCAAUGGCCAUCUCUUCCGGGCCAAUUUGCAUAUGACGCCAUCUCUGCUUCGACGAUCUUUUGCUCUCCGAAGAAGAGAGCUUUCGAUGUUAUCCAGCGUCUCUAUGGCGUUGAUCAACGCUUGCGCUGCGGUUAAUUUCGCGAUUGUUUUGAUGGAGAUUCUGUUAAUGGUUAUUUGAAUCUGGAAGAGCUGGCGCAAGAAAUUACGCAGCCUUCACGAGAAAGGUUAAACGGAGGCAUCUCGGAAACCAAUUCAGAGUUUGCUUUCUAUGAAACUGAACCAGCUUCUCUAAACCUUCACGAAAAGCUUUCGAUGGAAUGCUUUUGCUUCAUCAAGAUAUGAAUUCCCAGACACAGAGCUUAUUUACUCUCCUUUCAGGUCUAUGUCAUUCCUAUAAACUACAACUUGGGAACCAAUCCAUAGAUGUAUAUAUAUACACUUACACAUAUAUACUUCAUCAUCUUCUUCUUCUUCUGAAGUCAUUACUUUGCUUCACUGUCUUAUUAAUGUUGUAUCUUCUUGUUUGCUUCCUUUGUUUUUAUCUUGGGUUUCAUGAGUUUUAUUAUACAAUUGUAUACAUGGAUCAAAGUGCAUAUCAUUUUGUAAUAGAUAGACAAAUCAAGUAUAUAAUCAUAUUCUCUAAAAGACUUCCUACACUUAGUGUAGUGUGUAUAUCUGGAACUUAAGAAGAAGAGCUUAUUGUUCAAGGUGUUCGAUUUGCAUUCCGUGUUCAUCAGUUCGCAGGAGAAUUUGAUGCAGAGACAAUGAGGGCAUUUCAAGAGCUAAGAGAUAAAGCGAGACCAUGCCAUGUUCAGUGUCAAAACCAAACACAUCAACAUAAGCUUGUUUUUCGAUCUACCCCUUGUUUAAGCAAUCUUAGCUUCAUAUCCACACACCUCUUUGGUAUUUGUUGUAAUUUUCUCUAUUAAAUUUGUUUUCUAAGACAAAUAAAUCAUGUGAAUAUAUUCUCUAUGAAACACA